rnacentral:rRNA from 1 species
GUCUGUGGCUAUACCAGCCUGAACACACCUGAUCUUUUCUCACCUCAGAAGCUAAGUAGGGUCAGGCCUGGUUAGUACUUGGAUGGGAGAUGGUAAGUGAGAAGCCCCUUUGU